GACGAACGCUGGCGGCGUGCUUAACACAUGCAAGUCGAACGGAAAGGCCCUGCUUUUGUGGGGUGCUCGAGUGGCGAACGGGUGAGUAACACGUGAGUAACCUGCCCUUGACUUUGGGAUAACUUCAGGAAACUGGGGCUAAUACCGGAUAGGAGCUCCUGCUGCAUGGUGGGGGUUGGAAAGUUUCGGCGGUUGGGGAUGGACUCGCGGCUUAUCAGCUUGUUGGUGGGGUAGUGGCUUACCAAGGCUUUGACGGGUAGCCGGCCUGAGCGGGUGACCGGCGAAAUUGGGACUGAGAGACGGCCCAGACUCGCACGGGAGGCAGCAGUGGGGAAUAUUGCACAAUGGGCGGAAGCCUGAUGCAGCAACGCAGCGUGCGGGAUGACGGCCUUCGGGUUGUAAACCGCUUUCGCCUGUGACGAAGCGUGAGUGACGGUAAUGGGUAAAGAAGCACCGGCUAACUACGUG
rnacentral:rRNA from 1 species